CCCUGCCGGAGGGAGCUGGCUGCUGCUCUGGCCUUCCCCGCCUCCCCGAGUCCCGAAGGCGCCCGGAGUCAGCGGUGAGGGGCGGGGCGCCUCUGGCCGAAGGAGGAGCGGCGAUCGAGGCGCGGCCUCGCAGACCAGAUAUAAGGGCUGCUGGGAGGCUCGCUCGGCACCGGAGUCUGAGACCAACUGCCAAGAUGUCCCUGAUUGGUGCCGACACGCUCAACGCCCUCAGCCAGGUGCGGCUGGAUCCCGUCGAUGAGGCACGGCGCCAAGCCCUCCUGAUCGACAUGGCCAUCGAAAACGGAGAGCCCUCAUCGGCACCUACACCGAUGUCUCCAUGGACCUGUUCAGUGCCCAGUUGUUCUUACGGCUGACCUUAGUCAGGAGGUACCGCUAAGCGGAAGGAGAGCGCCCCGCCGGAGCCGCCGCGAUGGACAUCGACGCCUCCCUCCCCUCCGCCUCCCCGUCCGCCCCCCAGUCGGCAGCAAUAAACUUGUUGGCCUCUGA